rnacentral:rRNA from 1 species
UGGUGAUUACAGCAUAGAGGUCACACCUGUUCCCAUACCGAACACAGAAGUUAAGCUCUAUAGCGGCGAUGAUAUUGCAUUUGUGAGAAAGUAGCACGUUGCCAGUUC